rnacentral:rRNA from 1 species
GACGAACGCUGGCGGCGUGCUUAACACAUGCAAGUCGAACGGAAAGGCCCUGCUUUUGUGGGGUGCUCGAGUGGCGAACGGGUGAGUAACACGUGAGUAACCUGCCCUUGACUUUGGGAUAACUUCAGGAAACUGGGGCUAAUAUCGGAUAGGAGCUACUGCUGCAUGGUGGGGGUUGGAAAGUUUCGGCGGUUGGGGAUGGACUCGCGGCUUAUCAGCUUGUUGGUGGGGUAGUGGCUUACCAAGGCUUUGACGGGUAGCCGGCCUGGGAGGGUGACCGGCCACAUUGGGACUGAGAUACGGCCCAGACUCCUACGGGAGGCAGCAGUGGAGAAUAUUGCGCAGUGGGCGGAAGCCUGAUGCAGCAACGCCGCGUGCGGGAUGACGGCCUUCGGGUUGUAAACCGCUGUCGCCUGUGACGAAGCGUGAGUGACGGUAAUGGGUAAAGAAGCACCGGCUAACUACGUG